rnacentral:misc_RNA from 1 species
GAACGCACCUUGCGCUCCUUGGUAUUCCGAGGAGCAUGCCUGUUUGAGUGUCAUUAAUAUAUCAACCUUCUCUUUUUUGAGUUGUUUGGAUGUGGGGGUUUGCUGGCAUCUUAAAUGAUUCAGCUCCCCUGAAAUGCAUUAGCAGAACAAACCUGUUCAUUGGCGUGAUAAUUAUCUAUGCUAUUGAAUGUGAGGGCAGUUCAGCUUUCUAACCGUCCUUGGACAAUUCAUCAUUAAUGUGACCUCAAAUCAGGUAGGACUACCCGCUGAACUUAAG